UCGGAAUUACUGAGCGUAAAGCGUACGUAGGUGGUUUUUUAAGUCCGUUGUGAAAGCCCUGGGCUCAACCUGGGAAUGGCAGUGGAUACUGGAAAGCUAGAGUGCGGUAGAGGGUAGUGGAAUUCCCGGUGUAGCAGUGAAAUGCGUAGAGAUCGGGAGGAGCACCAGUGGCGAAGGCGGCUACCUGGACCAGCACUGACACUGAGGCACGAAAGCGUGGGGAGCAAACAGG
rnacentral:rRNA from 1 species